UACGAAGGGGGCUAGCGUUGCUCGGAAUCACUGGGCGUAAAGGGCGCGUAGGCGGGGAGGUAAGUCGGGUGUGAAAUCCCUCGGCCCAACUGAGGAACUGCGCCCGAGACUGCUUCUCUUGAGUCCCGGAGAGGAAGAUGGAAUUCCCGGUGUAGCGGUGAAAUGUGUAGAGAUCGGGAGGAACACCGGUGGCGAAGGCGGUCUUCUGGACGGUGACUGACGCUGAGACGCGAAAGCGUGGGGAGCGAACAGG
rnacentral:rRNA from 1 species